rnacentral:rRNA from 1 species
UACAGAGGUCUCAAGCGUUGUUCGGAAUCACUGGGCGUAAAGGGUGCGUAGGCGGCGUGGAAAGUCAGAUGUGAAAUCCGGGAGCUCAACUUCCGAAUGGCAUCCGAUACUACCGUGCUAGAGAACUGGAGGGGAGUCUGGAAUUCUCGGUGUAGCAGUGAAAUGCAUAGAUAUCGAGAGGAACACCUGUGGCGAAGGCGAGACUCUGGACAGUAUCUGACGCUGAGGCACGAAGGUCAGGGGAGCGAACGGG